UGACCUGCCCACUGAAUUUUUAAAUGGCCGCAGUAUUCUAACUGUGCAAAGGUAGCAUAAUCAUUAGUCUUUUAAUUGAAGGCUGGUAUGAAUGGUUGGACAAGGUAUUAACUGUUUCAAGUAAAUUUAUUAUAGAAUUUUAUUUUUUAGUCAAAAAGCUAAAAUAUGGUUAAAAGACGAGAAGACCCUAUAAAUCUUUACUUUUUUUGUGAUUUUAAUUAUAUAGGUAAAUUUUAUUAUAAUUAUAAAAAAAGUUUUAUUGGGGUGAUAUUAAAAUUUAAAAAACUUUUAAUUUUUAUAAACAUAAGUUAAUGAAUAAUUGAUCCAGUUUUAUUGAUUAAAAAAUUAAGUUACUUUAGGGAUAACAGCGUAAUUUUUUUGGAGAGUUCAUAUCGAUAUAAAAGAUUGCGACCUCGAUGUUGGAUUAAGAAAAGCUUUAGGUGUAGCCGCUUAAAU
rnacentral:rRNA from 1 species